ensembl:ncRNA F08F1.13 ncRNA
GUUUUUUGUCGAACAAGAACAACCUUUUGAAAAAGGAAUGGAAAAGAAUGGUUAAUUGAGGUUUCGAUAUUGGACAAAAGGAAAUUUCACGAAUUCAAUAAAA